rnacentral:snRNA from 1 species
AGCUUUGCGCAGUGGCAGUAUCGUAGCCAAUGAGGUUUAUCCGAGGCGCGAUUAUUGCUAAUUGAUAUUUGGAGGUGAAAAAAAAUGCUUUUGCUAAGGUUAAUUUAUUAGAGUGGAAAAGUCUUUCUGCUGGAGAAUAUAUGAACAGAGUAAAAAUUG